GUGGGGAAUUUUGCGCAAUGGGGGAAACCCUGACGCAGCGACGCCGCGUGAAGGAUGAAGGUCUUCGGAUUGUAAACUUCUUUUGUCGGGGAAGAUAAUGACGGUACCCGAUGAAUAAGCCACGGCUAACUCUGUGCCAGCAGCCGCGGUAAGACAGAGGUGGCAAGCGUUGUUCGGAAUUACUGGGCUUAAAGGGCGCGUAGGCGUCCCGGUAAGUCAGAUGUGGAAGCUUUCCGCUUAACGGGAAAAUUGCAUCUGAUACUGUCGGGAUUGAGUCAGCGAGGGGAUGGCGGAAUUCCAGGUGUAGCGGUGAAAUGCGUAGAUAUCUGGAGGAAGGCCGGUGGCGAAGGCGGCCAUCUGGCGCUGAACUGACGCUGAGGCGCGAAAGCGUGGGGAGCAAACAGGAUUAGAAACCCUAGUAGUCC
rnacentral:rRNA from 1 species